rnacentral:rRNA from 1 species
GACGAACGCUGGCGGCGUGCUUAACACAUGCAAGUCGAACGGUAAGGCCCUGCUUUUGUGGGGUGCUCGAGUGGCGAACGGGUGAGUAACACGUGAGUAACCUGCCCUUGACUUUGGGAUAACUUCAGGAAACUGGGGCUAAUACCGGAUAGGAGCUCCUGCUGCAUGGUGGGGGUUGGAAAGUUUCGGCGGUUGGGGAUGGACUCGCGGCUUAUCAGCUUGUUGGUGGGGUAGUGGCUUACCAAGGCUUUGACGGGUAGCCGGCCUGAGAGGGUGACCGGCCACAUUGGGACUGAGGUAGGGCCCAGACUCCUACGGGAGGCAGCAGUGGGGAAUAUUGCACAAUGGGCGGAAGCCUGAUGCAGCAACGCCGCGUGCGGGAUGACGGCCUUCGGGUUGUAAACCGCUUUCGCCUGUGACGAAGCGUGAGUGACGGUAAUGGGUAAAGAAGCACCGGCUAACUACGUG